rnacentral:rRNA from 1 species
AGCGAACGCUGGCGGCAGGCCUAACACAUGCAAGUCGAACGAACCUUUCGGGGUUAGUGGCGGACGGGUGAGUAACACGUGGGAACGUGCCUUUAGGUUCGGAAUAACUCAGGGAAACUUGUGCUAAUACCGCAUGUGCCCUUCGGGGGAAAGAUUAAUCGCCUUUAGAGCGGCCCGCGGCUGAUUAGCUAGUUGGGUGAGGUAAUGGCCCACCAAGGCGACGAUCAGUGGCUGGUCUGCGAGGAGGAUCAGCCACCUUGGGACUGAGACACGGCCCACACGCCUACGGGAGGCAGCAGGGGGGAAUCGUGGGGAAUGGGCGGAAGCCUGACGCAGCCAUGCCGCGUGAAUGAUGAAGGUCUUAGGAUUGUAAAAUUCUUUCACCGGGGACGAUAAUGACGGUACCCGGAGAAGAAGCCCCGGCUAACUUCGUG